ACAAAUGGUCGCCGGCCUUUGGCUAAGAUCAUGUAGUAUCUGUUCUUAUCAGUUUAACAUGAUAUGUCCUUUCAUAUGAGACUACAUUACAGCCUUUUGCGAUAUGGUGAAAUUUUGGGAGCUGUUCUUCCGUUAUAACUCCAAGAGUCGCUGGGAACGGUGCACUCUGUUCUACCUUUGUGAAAACCAACA